AGUGAACGCUGGCGGUAGGCCUAACACAUGCAAGUCGAACGGCAGCACAGUAAGAGCUUGCUCUUACGGGUGGCGAGUGGCGGACGGGUGAGGAAUACAUCGGAAUCUACUUUUUCGUGGGGGAUAACGUAGGGAAACUUACGCUAAUACCGCAUACGACCUACGGGUGAAAGCAGGGGAUCUUCGGACCUUGCGCGAUUGAAUGAGUCGAUGUCGGAUUAGCUAGUUGGCGGGGUAAAGGCCCACCAAGGCGACGAUCCGUAGCUGGUCUGAGAGGAUGAUCAGCCACACUGGAACUGAGACACGGUCCAGACUCCUACGGGAGGCAGCAGUGGGGAAUAUUGGACAGUGGGCGCAAGCCUGAUCCAGCCAUACCGCGUGGGUGAAGAAGGCCUUCGGGUUGUAAAGCCCUUUUGUUGGGAAAGAAAAGCAGCAGGUUAAUACCCCGCUGUUCUGACGGUACCCAAAGAAUAAGCACCGGCUAACUUCGUG
rnacentral:rRNA from 1 species